rnacentral:rRNA from 1 species
UACAGAGGGUGCUAGCGUUGUUCGGAAUCAUUGGGCGUAAAGGGCUCGUAGGCGGUUUGUCGCGUCGGGAGUGAAAUCCACUGGCUUAACUGGUGGCUUGCUUUCGAUACGGGCAGACUGGAGGUAUGCAGGGGAGAACGGAAUUCCUGGUGUAGCGGUGAAAUGCGCAGAUAUCAGGAGGAACACCGGUGGCGAAGGCGGUUCUCUGGGCAUGUCCUGACGCUGAGGAGCGAAAGUGUGGGGAGCGAACAGG